UUCGAUUCCCUGAGUAGCGGCGAGCGAAACGGGAAGAGCCCAAACCAAGAGGCUUGCCUCUUGGGGUUGUAGGACACUCAAUACGGAGUGAUAAAAGAACGGAGUAGAUGAAGCGAUCUGGAAAGGUCCGUCAGAGAAGGUAACAACCCUGUAAUUGAAACUCUCGUUCUCUCCUGAGUGGAUCCUGAGUACGGCGGAACACGUGAAAUUCCGUCGGAAGCUGGGAGGACCAUCUCCCAAGGCUAAAUACUCCCUAGUGACCGAUAGUGAACCAGUACCGUGAGGGAAAGGUGAAAAGUACCCCGGAAGGGGAGUGAAAGAGUACCUGAAACCGUGUGCUUACAAGUAGUCAGAGCACAAUUAUGUGUGAUGGCGUGCCUUUUGUAGAAUGAACCGGCGAGUUACGAUCCUAUGCAAGGUUAAAGUGGAAACUGGAGCCGUAGCGAAAGCGAGUCUGAAUAGGGCGAAUAAGUAUAGGGUCGUAGACCCGAAACCAGGUGAUCUACCCAUGUCCAGGGUGAAGGUAAGGUAACACUUACUGGAGGCCCGGACCCACGCACGUUGAAAAGUGCGGGGAUGAGGUGUGGGUAGCGGAGAAAUUCCAAUCGAACUUGGAGAUAGCUGGUUCUCUCCGAAAUAGCUUUAGGGCUAGCCUCAAGAUAAGAGUAUUGGAGGUAGAGCACUGUUUGGACUAGGGGCCCUCAUCGGGUUACCGAAUUCAGAUAAACUCCGAAUGCCAAAUACUUAUGCUUGGGAGUCAGACUACGAGUGCUAAGAUCCGUGGUCAAAAGGGAAACAGCCCAGACCGCCAGUUAAGGUCCCAAAGUAUACGUUAAGUGGAAAAGGAUGUGGAGUUGCAUAGACAACCAGGAUGUUGGCUUAGAAGCAGCCACCAUUUAAAGAGUGCGUAAUAGCUCACUGGUCGAGUGACUCUGCGCCGAAAAUGUACCGGGGCUAAACGUAUCACCGAAACUGCGGAU
rnacentral:rRNA from 2 species